GACGAACGCUGGCGGCGUGGAUUAGGCAUGCAAGUCGGACGGUGGGGCUUUAUCGUAAGAUAGAGUUUGAGAGUGGCGAACGGGUGAGUAACACGUAGGAAUCUACCCUUAAGACGGGGACAACCCAGGGAAACUUGGGCUAAUACCGGAUGAGAGUGCGAGAGAUUGCAUUUAAAAGGAUGGCGAAAGUUGUCGCUUAGGGAUGAGCCUGCGGUCUAUUAGUUAGUUGGUGAGGUAAGAGCUCACCAAGGCGAUGAUAGAUAGGCGGCCUUAACGGGUGGUCGCCCACACUGGGAUUGAGAUACGGCCCAGACUCCUACGGGAGGCAGCAGUCGAGAAUAGUCUACAAUGGCCGGAAGGCUGAUAGUGCGACGCCGCGUGAACGAGGGAGCCCUUCGGGUGUAAAGUUCUUUUCUAUACGAGCAGUGCUAUAUAUAUGGAUAGUAUAUAUAGAGGGAUAGUAGUAUAGGAAUAAGCAACGGCUAACUCCGUGCCAGCAGCCG
rnacentral:rRNA from 1 species